rnacentral:lncRNA from 1 species
UGAUAACCGCUCUCCGAGUUCAUGCUCUUCUGAGGUCUAGAAAGAAAUGGGUGUCUCUGUCCCAACCUGGUUAGUUAUUCUGUCUCUAAAAACACAAUUAAGUCAAUGUUAAGACUAAGUUCAUUAAGCUGCUCGUGUUUUUAUGCCUUGACAGUUUGUUAAUGGUGGUUGCAUAAGUUUUACAGAACUAGUUUCGUCUUGUUGCCCAGGCUGGAGGGCAAUGGUGUGACCUCAGCUCACCGCAACCUCCGCCUCCUGGGUUCAAGCGAUUCUCCUGCCUCAGCCUCCCAAGUAGCUGGGAUUACAGGCAUGCGCCACCAUGCCUGGCUUAUUUUGUAUUUUUAGUAGAGACAGGGUUUCUCCAUGUUGGUCUGGCUGGUCUCGAACUCCUGACCUCAGGUGAUCUGCCCGCCUUGACCUCCCAAAGUGCAGGGAUUACAGGCAUGAGCCACCGCGGCCAGCCUGUAGUCAGCUCUUUAAGGCAACAAUUUAUUGGCUCAGGUGACUGGCACAAGCCAGUUUUCUUUUGUUCAUUUCAUCCAUUGUGGCAAGGAUUAGCAACAGUACUAAAUGAGAGCUUGUCAACACCUUCUGUAAAAACACCACCAGGAGCAGGAGAGCUGCUUCUCCCAUGUGGCUCAAACACUUAAUUCCAGCUUCUCUACACCC